AUGUCGACUUUAUCCUUUUGUCCUCUCAACUUCUCAUCGAUUUUUAUGCGUGGAGAAUGGCGAAUAUUCCAUGAAUCAGCUCUCAAAACCUACUACAAUAUUCUGUUUAAUCUACGUUUUGAAGAGCUUCCAGUAUCAUCUGAUCCAACAAUUACAGCUGAGACGAUGGAUCGAGAGUGUGAACCAUUUGUUAUCGAGUUACCCGAAAAUAUAAAUGUGAAUGAUCUGAUCAAUAAUAUGAAGAAACACACAAAUGUUUCAACUGUAAAGAUGCGGCGACAGGAGAAAAAUCCGAUAAACGAUAAGGCGAAACCAAAGACUACAGUUCGUUACAUCGUCUCCGUCUCCGGAACUCUCGAAUCAAUUCAAAUGCUCAAAAAGCUUUCAGCAGUUACAAUUCCAAUCAAAAGUCAUUGGGAAGGAGAAGAAGUAUCACAACAGAUGGCAUCUCUUUGCUAUCAAAAAGUUAUGAAUGGUGAAUUUUAAUCUCGUAUUUUUGUUGAAAUAUGCCAUAGACUCUGUUAAUGUUUUUUCUUCACUUACAUUUUCAAACCUUGUACUAUUUUUUCUGUUUUAUUUAUUUUUAAUUCCUUCUACCAUUUGUAUUUGUGUGUAAACUGACCAAUUCCAUCAUCAAAUGAUUGAUUAAUAAUUUUAAAAUAUUUUCUCCGUGGUAUAAAACAUUUAUUUAUUUU
rnacentral:misc_RNA from 1 species